rnacentral:lncRNA from 1 species
UGAUAAUCAAUCAUCUUAACGCUAUGUUUAAGAGCGUCUCCACAGAAAUAACGUGAAAAAGAAGAAGAAAAAAACCAUGAAAUUGAAGUAUGGUUUUUUCUUAUAAAUAAUGCUUUUUUAUUUUACAAUAUAAGAUUUAGAAAGAAUAAUAUUUUCAAAACCCAGAUAUAAUUCUGCUACACUUGGUUUUGAUCCACCUGAUCCCUUUCUUUAUUGAUCUCUUUACCUUCCCUUCAACUCCAUACAAUUUGUACUUAGCAACGCGUUGUCGUCUCCUCAUUUCUGGUUUCUUCCACCAUGGCUUCUUCAUACAACUUUUCGACGGUUCCGAUGUCUUCGUCACAUAUUGUUUCACAAACGAAGGGUCGACCACAGUUCGCCUCUGUGACUGGUUUAGGUACACCUUGUUUACACUCAAUUUUCUCACGUCUAUGACUUCCAGGCUCCGACCACCCUUGUUUGGGUGGUGGUGGAGCCCUUCCAUCGUAGUUUCUAUGUUUAGUUUUUAAAGUUGAGAGUGAAUGGGAUUGAGAGGAAGAGAGGAGAAAGGGGUGGAAAACAAGUUUUGGGUUUUUGAUUUUUGAUUUUUAGUUUGGUUUUUAAGGUUUAUAUGAGAGAAAAAAAAGUUGGUUGGAAUGAGAAGAGAAGCGUGAUUAUGGGGAUUUUCAUCCAUACAUACACUUUUCCUUGAGGUUUUUUCAAUACUAAGGUAGUUGGAUUUGCUAAUUAUGAAAGGUUGUCUAAAUUUUAUUCAUGGGAAAGAGAGUAAUCUUGUUUUCUUUUUGUUAAAUCUUUUGAUCGCAAACUCAUAUGUCACAUAAUGUCGUGAUCAUAUGUUAGAAUUUUUAGAUCAAAAGACGUUGUCGUUUCACUCUCUACCUUAGCAGAUUUGAAGAUUGAGUCCAUUUUAAUUGAAAAUUGCUUGUCUAUACAUAUUAGAGUUAUAAUCUUCUUUGUGUUCUACAUAAUUAAUGUUCAAUAUUGGUUGCACAACAAUUUCCUUUUAUUAUUAAAUUUGAUUGGAGUAGAUUACAAAAAGUUGAGUAUAUUAUUUUGUGCCAAAAUAACCAAACAAGUUGGGAAUGGCUCUUUCGAAGCAGUAAGCCAGGCCGUGAAGAGUGUCCACAGUACUGUGUUGGGUGAGGAAAAACCCAAGCGCAAACAGGACGAUAUCGGCAAUUCAUUUUUCUCGAUGCAAGCUUCGCCGAAUAAUAUGAAACAUCGUG